rnacentral:lncRNA from 1 species
UAAUCUGAUUGGGUAAGAGCUUGGUAUGAACAGUGGAACCUGAUCGAAGAAAGAAUGCUACGUGCUAUAUGUCACCUACCAAUACUAACAAGCCCUCUCUGCAUUGCAUUGCCCAAGACCUAACCUUUUCCCUAGCUUUCACUAUGUUACGCUUAACUCGGUUGAAGGCUCGGUGAUACCUCGUCUUGAAAGCGCAAGUUCAGCGCCCUGUUAAGUAGGAGUUUGGUAAACUUAAAGCUUUAAGCGCUAGGUGAGUAGCUGCUUUGAUAAGAAGUCGCUUUCUUCCUCCCUUCAAAAGCCCCUACUUUUGGGAAGUUCAAA